AAAUACGUUGCUUAAAUUUUGUAUAGGCGUAACUAGAGUUUAAAUGCAACGUACAAUACAGACUAGACACGGCCACGUGAAUGGACCAGAAAUGAUCGUACGCCUACAAUUAGCAGAUCGGCGAUUGUAACAGAAGAACGCUAACUUUCAUGCUUAAACGACACUUGUCCAGACUAGCCUGAGCUGUCUCCAACCACGCGAUUUUUUUUUUGGUUCGUAACGUCACGCGCCCACUCACGAAAUGGUUACCACUUACCACCACCGUCUGGUUUUGCUAAAUAAACCAAAGCUGCAAAUUAAGCUUCUAAUUCAUCUACUACAAAGCCUUCCAUCAACCUAUUUCAUCUCUAUCUCUCAUAUGCCUAACCAGACAAAAAGAAAAUGCAACUUAAUGUUAAUCAAUGGAAGAAAGCAAAACAAAGAGUAAUUAUAGUGCUGAUUGUAAUCAUGCAACUUUUUGGUGCCGUUAAGUUAACGCCCACAAUUGGUCCAUCUGCCACCUCAUAUCAGAUUUUGACAAUUCACAUUUUUUGGUCCAUCUAUUUUGUGCCGAUGCGUAUGCAUGGUUCUCUAUCAUUGAAAUUUGUUAAGAGACACUUUUUUCACUAU